GCCUGGCUGUCUUCCUGCCGCCACUGGAGUCCCUUCCUGCGAGUGAGCUGCUCGCCCUCUUCUUUCUCUGCUCUGGAUCUGCCACCACGAACUGAAGGGCCACUGGAGCUGGGGGGUCUACAGCCCUGAUUUACCAUUCCAGAGAUGAGUGAACCUACUCAGGACCCCACUGGAGUUAAGGGAUCUCGUGCACUGCACUUUGCAGGAAGAGGGCCGCAACUUGCUCUCUUCCUGCCGUCACACAUUCUCAUGAUUUCUUCAUGCAAGGAUUUGGGGGAAUACACACGGCUCCUCCUUUCCACCAUCUGCCUGAGAACUUCACCUCAGCGGAGGGGAGUUGUACCUUUUCUGCCGGAACCUGAAAUUCUCAACUUUCCAGAGUCCAUUUAGUGGAAGACUGUUCUCUAAGUACUGGAGACCUUGAGCGUGAACGGUAUCUUCUGGAUGGGGCUGCCCUUGCCCUUGAACGGUGAUAACCAUCUGAC